rnacentral:lncRNA from 1 species
CUUGGCCAACAAGCCGAAACACUAUCUAGUAAAUACAACUAAAUAAAGCUAAAUAAUGUUGAUAAUUUGUGCGCCUGCCAUUUAGAAUCUUGAAUGAAGCUAAAUACUGUAGAUAAUUUGUGUGCUCCUUAUUUUUUUUGCCUGCAUCCAGCUUCGUCGGUGUUGUAUUUCUUUUAGAGAGCUUCCUACAUAAUCUUCAAAAAUUUAAAAAAAAAAACAAAAUAACCAAUCAUACUAUUUUCAC